rnacentral:rRNA from 1 species
GUAUCAUUCGCCGCCCCAACUGCCUAAGUUCCACUUGAAUGUGACCAAUGACCAUGGAGGGUGCCAGUCCCGUAUGGCGGAAUUGCAGUCCCCGACAGGGGGCACAGGGGCGGCGGCGUAGGGCCUAUCCGCAGAGUCGGGUUGCUUGAUAAUGCAGCCCUAAGAAGGUGGUAAACUCCAUCUAAGGCUAAAUAUUCCCACGAGACCGAUAGCGAACAAGUACCAUGAGGGAAAGUUGAAAAGGACUUUGAAGAGAGAGUUCAAGAGUACGUGAAACCGUUAAGAGUUAAACGGAUGGUCCCUGUAGGCCGAACAGAGGGGAUUCAGCAGGUCGGCAGUCCGGUGGGAUGCGGGGUCUGAGAAUAAUUGAAUACCUUAAGUGACUCGCCUCGGCGGCGGCGGCGGCGGAGCUUAAACCCUCUUCCGCUGCUGCUGGUGCGGCGGGCACGCCCCGCUCUCAAUCUCGGGCGCCGGCACAGGCGUAUUUCCGCCUCCUAGUAGCUCACCGCGACUCGUCGCUCGGGGAUGUCGAAGGCCCGGUUGGAUUGGUACCCUUAGGGGGAAACCUCCGGUGAAAUUCCUGACAGCCCUGCGACGGUCAAAAAGUGGCAGAGAAGCUCGACGUACACGAGAAGGGGCGUCCGGCGGUUGCUUAUCGAGAACCUGAAGAGGAUGCUCAGGCCCGCCGGACGAUUCUCCCCGUAAGUCGUCUCGCAGCAUGCUCUUGCGGUGUUACACGAACAGAGGACCAACCGACCCGUCUUGAAACACGGACCAAGGAGUCUAACAUGUGUGCGAGUCAUUGGGUGCACUAAACCCAAAGGCACAAUGAAAGUGAUUCAAAAUCCUACCUUUGUUAUGCAAAAUACAGUCUAACGAUGAGAUGGGCCGAUCCCUAGGCCGACUGCCCGCUCGCGUGUGCGGCUUUCAGCUUUUCCCGGGCUGCUUGGGUGAGACCCUUUCCCCAACGCCCGGGGCCCAAAAGGCUGAUUGAUUCCGUCACCUUGCGUUGGCAUAGGCCCGAGCCUGCAAGGCGACAGGGGGGCGCAGGCCCGGGACUUUUUCCCAAAUGGUGCUGCGCUGUUGUUGCUGCGGCGGCUGGCUGGCUGGUG